AUUGAACGCUGGCGGCAUGCUUUACACAUGCAAGUCGAACGGUAACAGGCCGCAAGGUGCUGACGAGUGGCGAACGGGUGAGUAAUGCAUCGGAACGUGCCCAGUCGUGGGGGAUAACGCAGCGAAAGCUGCGCUAAUACCGCAUACGAUCUAAGGAUGAAAGCGGGGGACCCUGUAGCAAUAUGGGGCCUCGCGCGAUUGGAGCGGCCGAUGUCAGAAUAGCUAGUUGGUGGGGUAAAGGCCCACCAAGGCGACGAUCUGUAGCUGGUCUGGGAGGGCGACCAGCCACACUGGGACUGAGACACGGCCCAGACUCCUACGGGAGGCAGCAGUGGGGAAUUUUGGACAAUGGGCGCAAGCCUGAUCCAGCAAUGCCGCGUGCAGGAAGAAGGCCUUCGGGUUGUAAACUGCUUUUGUACGGAACGAAACGGUCUGGGUCAAUACCCUGGGCUAAUGACGGUACCGUAAGAAUAAGCACCGGCUAACCACGUGCCAGCAGCCGCAGUAA
rnacentral:rRNA from 1 species